ACGGAAUAGAUACCCGGGUAGUCCUGGCCGUAAACGAUGACCACUAGAUGCACGCGGGCUCGACCCUGGGUGUGUCGCAGUUAAACGCACUAAGUGGUCCGCCUGGGGAGUACGGUCGCAAGACUAAAACUCAAAGGAAUUGACGGGGACCCGCACAAGCAGCGGAGCGUGUGGUUUAAAUUCGAAGCAACGCGAAGCACCUUACCAGGGCUUGACAUGCUCUUGCACCAGCGGUAAUGCGCUGUCUCCUUCGGGAGCGGGAGCACAGGUGCUGCAUGGCUGUCGUCAGCUCGUGUCGUGAGAUGUUGGGUUUAAGUCCCGCAACGAGCGCAACCCCUGUGGUUGGUUGGAUGUUCUCCAGCCAGACUGCCGUGAGCAACACGGAGGAAGGUGGGGAUGACGUCAAGUCAGCAUGGCCCUGACGUCCUGGGCGACACACACGCUACAAUGGCCGGUCCAACGGGAAGCCAACCCGCGAGGGGAGCGGAUCCCAGCAAACCCGGGUCUCAGUUCAGAUUGCAGGCU
rnacentral:rRNA from 1 species